GGGGUUGUGGCUCAGAGGUAGAGUGCUUGCCUGGUAUGCAUGAGGCACUGGGUUCAAUCCUC
rnacentral:tRNA from 1 species